rnacentral:rRNA from 1 species
GUGUCAGCAGCCGCGGUAAUACGUAGGGGGCAAGCGUUGUUCGGAUUUACUGGGCGUAAAGCGCGCGUAGGCGGCCCCGCAAGUCCGAUGUGAAAUCCCCCGGCUCAACCGGGGACCCGCGUCGGAGACUGCAGGGCUUGAGUGCAGGAGAGGAGAGCGGAAUUCCCAGUGUAGCGGUGAAAUGCGUAGAUAUUGGGAGGAACACCGGUGGCGAAGGCGGCUCUCUGGACUGCUACUGACGCUGAGGCGCGAAAGCUAGGGGAGCAAACGGGAUUAGAUACCCCUGUAGUCC